rnacentral:rRNA from 1 species
UACCAGCACCCCGAGUGGUCGGGACGAUUAUUGGGCCUAAAGCAUCCGUAGCCGGUUCUGCAAGUCCCCCGUUAAAUCCAGCUGCUCAACAGAUGGGCCGCGGAGGAUACUACAGAGCUAGGAGGCAGGAGAGGCAAGCGGUACUCAGUGGGUAGGGGUAAAAUCCGUUGAUCCAUUGAAGACCACCAGUGGCGAAGGCGGCUUGCCAGAAUGCGCUCGACGGUGAGGGAUGAAAGCUGGGGGAGCGAAGGGG